rnacentral:rRNA from 1 species
GAUCAUGGCUCAGGAUGAACGCUGGCGGCGUUGCUUAACACAUGCAAGUCGAACGAAGAUGCCGGAGUGCUUGCACUUUGGCAGACUGAGUGGCGGAGGUGAGUAACGGCGUGGGUAACCUGCCUUAUACAGGGGGAUAACAGUUGGAAACGACUGCUAAUACCGCAUAAGCGCACGGUAUCGCAUGAUACAGUGUGAAAAACUCCGGUGGUAUAAGAUGGACCCGCGUCUGAUUAGCUAGUUGGUGAGGUAACGGCCCACCAAGGCGACGAUCAGUAGCCGGCCUGAGAGGGUGAACGGCCACAUUGGGACUGAGACACGGCCCAAACUCCUACGGGAGGCAGCAGUGGGGAAUAUUGCACAAUGGGGGAAACCCUGAUGCAGCGACGCCGCGUGAGUGAUGAAGUAUUUCGGUAUGUAAAACUCUAUCAGCAGGGAAGAUAAUGACGGUACCUGACUAAGAAGCACCGGCUAAAUACGUG